GAAAAAUUUACGGAGACUAAGCUUGUAGAAGGCAUGGGGUUUCCCUGUUUGGACGAGGGUUCGAAUCCCUCCGGCUCCACUU
rnacentral:tmRNA from 1 species